CAGAGGGAGAGGGAGAGGCAUAGUAGCACCAGGAGCCAUCACAAUCUGCUGGAUAUCACAAGUGGGAGGAGAGAGACCUUCUUCCCUCUCUCCAUUUCCCAACUGCUCCACAAGAGGAACUUCAAAGCUAAAUGAAUCAGCGACAAUCAAUGAGGAGAUAACAAGCAGACCUCAGUCAGCUCUCUUACUGUGAUGGCUGCCACAAGUUUUAUGAUGAAGGAGACCAGAAGCGAAGAACUAUCACUGCUGGUUUGCAUCUCCAGCUUACGGAAAUUUGAAUAAGUUGUAUGUUGACCCA